rnacentral:lncRNA from 1 species
GAGUUAUUUUGACACUUUUUGCUGAAUCAGUAAAGAGAGUGUAUCACACUCGCUGAUAACGUGGAAAGGGACCAAUUAUAAAAGAACAUUUGUCAUAUUUAUUAAAAUAAUUUUUAUAUAAUUAAUUUAAAUAAAAAAUAUUAAUAACCUCACCCCCACCUUAUAUUAUCUUCCUAACCACCACACCACAUCACACCCCAUAUCAUCUUCUUCAACUCACCCCACCCCCAAAAUCAUUUGCCGCCACCAAUCAAACCCACGCACCACCAUCAACACCGGUGAAACCCUAAAUCGACACACCUAUCCGUCGACGAGCCACGAUGGCUGCUGCCACUUCCUCCUCCAGCAAACUAGAGCUGGCAGCCACUCUGAACCAGUCGCCGCUCCACCAGCAACGAACAGCCGGCAAGACAUCCACCACGAUUUUCGACCAGCCAUGGCCGGUGAAACCAAGCCAACAACUGCACUUCCGCCAAGAUAACAUCGGAGCUCCAUCAGCAAACCCAACAAAAAUCACCUUUGCCGUUGUUUCAUCGACGAAAACAAUGAUCCAAACAGUUCCUCCAUCCACUGCUGCCUCACCGCCCCUGAUUCCAAUUAAAAUUCUAAUGGGCAUAUAAAUAUCAAAUCAUGACAAUUGAGCUUUGAAAAUCACAAAAAGAAGAAGUGGAUUGUGGCUUUUGAAUGAAAUAGUCCAAGAAAUCUAAAAUUUACCAAAGGAGCAUUUUAACUUCAAUUGACAACAAAUAGAUAUGAGGCUAAUAUAAGCUCCUGCUAGAUGGCAAUAUUGUUUUGGAGAUGCUCGUUUCUUGAAAUCUACACUCUAGAGAUCAAAUACUGCCUUCUGUUGCAAUAUUGUAAAAAUUAGUUGUGUUAAAGAAAAGGAAAAAAAUGGUGGAAAAAUAAUGGAUGAAAGAGUGAGAAAGAAAGAGAAGAAAGAUGAUAAAAUUAUGAAAAUAUUCCUAAAUGCGUUCAAAAGCGAGUGUGGUACACUUUCUUUACUAAAUCAGUAAAAAGUGUCAUUUCUUUACUAAAUCAGUAAAAAGUGUCAAAGUGAUACAAUUUAUGGCUACUUGAGGUGCCAAAGGUGAACAACAUUCAUUUGAGGUGUCAAAAUGAAAGAUGAUGUCAAAUUUAGAGAGUUAUCGAUGGUUUGACCUAUAAUGAACAUUCUUGUUUACUCUUUACUUUAAUAUUAUAUUUUAUUACUAUAUCAGACUUUUUUCAUAUAGAAUUCAA